CACGAUUCUAACAACUAUUAACAAAUGACCUUAAAAUAUUCAGUCCUUCUUUCAACUACCUCUCCUGCGAUGAUGAUGUGUGAAAGUAACAGGGAUUUGUCGUUAAUCAAUAAAAAGCAAAUAACAUACCAUUAAAGGGCCUGUCACUGCAAUGAAAACACUGCCUUUUCUGAGAAAAAACAGUGUUUAUAUUGCUGCUUAAGGCAAUAACUCGUACAUCCACUAGAGAGACUUCCUGGACAAGGUCUUGCGAAGAAUGCAGGAACAGCAUUCAUCUCCAUGCUAUGCACAUAGACUUCAAACAAUCCCUAUAGAGAUGUACUGAGCCAAUGCAUCUUUAUGAGGAGAUGCUGAUUGGCCAUGCAUGUGCAUUAGUCUCCCAAAGCUUCCCUUUGAGAAACAAAGGAUUGGCUGAGAUCAUCAGGAUUGGUGAUUUUAGCCAGUAGAGGCAGGGCAAUGGUGACAAGACCGGCAUGCUGGGAGAAAAAGGGUAAGAAAAUCUAUUUAUUUACUUACUUCUGGGGUUACCAAUAAUCCCAAUAGAUAUAUUACUAGAGUAUCCCUUUUAGCACUGUUACACCAAAAAACAUACUAAAAAUAGGUAACAAAACAAAUACUAUAUACACUAUAGCUAAAAUAUUUGAUCUGAACAUGUGUAAAGUAACAUUGCAUAAAUAUCAAUGUUUAUUUUGAACAUAACAGUUUGAUGACAUGCGUCAUCACUACUCUAAUAAAGUGAUGAGACAGGCAGUUGAGGUCAUUUCAUAUUUCGUCCAUUUCGUUUGUUAUUAACCUUCAGAAUAAUUCUGGUUUUAAAGAGUUCCUCCAACCACCAUUACCACUACAGCCCGCUGGAACAACCAUACCAUACCGGACAUUUUGUGUGAUUUGUUUGAUUUUGUUCUGAGCAGGAAGGUCUCUCCACACCCUGUUAUCGAUGUCUUCCGGGUGUCUCUCAAGUUCCAGGAGCACCUGGCCUUGUCUUGUUAGUGCUGUGUCUGCCUGUUGUCUUGCCACUAUGAGGUCUCUUCUAAGUUUUCCAUAUGGGCAUCUAGCCCUGUUACAUCGCUACGAAAAUCUGACAGUUUCUGAUUAAUGGUGUCCUUUAUUUCUAGUAACAUAGCAGUUAAGUAAUCCUUAGUUAGCAUUGAUCAGAAGAUCGUGCGUAAGUCUGCGCAAAUAGCUUCCAAGAAUGAGGUCAUUGUCGCUCGUAUUUGGUGGCCUUGUUGAGACGAGCCUGCUUUCUUCAAGGCCUCCAAUUCAGGAGGAUGGUGCAGUUUUUUCUGAGGCUGCGGAUCCAACCAACGCUGAUGGCGUGGACAGGAAUUUGUCCAUCAAUUGAGACUGAGGUGUGUUCGCCUGAGACUUGUGUAUGGUACUUGUUCUGCAAUUUUGGAACAUACUUAAGGGAUGAUCGGGAUGCUUCAGCUGUUUAGUAUUGGGUAGGGCUGAGGAGUUCGCUUACUGCACAUCUUGCUCAGCUGCCAUCCAGGCCACAAACCCAUGAUUCUUAUCAUCCGACAACAUUCUUUCAACAGCUAGGAGCAACAAUAAAAAAAAAAAAAAUACUGAUAUCUAUAUAUAUGCUGUUGUGAUAAGCCAGCCAGAGGUGAAUAGGAGGAAUCUGCCACUUAUAACCUUUGUGUUUUAUGCAGAAACUGACGAUUACCUAAACACAAAGAAAGGUGAAAGCAGCCUAUUAUUAUUUACUAAAUGCAAUGGUAG
rnacentral:lncRNA from 1 species